CUUCGAUCCUUAUAUCUGGCACCGAUCUUGCGGUUGAGCUGCCCCGCUGCGCAAGGGAAGAUGCAACCGCCCUCCAAGGUCAGCUCUCUAAAUCUAGCUGAAUUCCACCACGGAUGCCGCUUUAUAUUUACAACCGGAGAGUUUGUCGCAUCGCAUCCACCGAGACUGCCAUAAUCAUCGCUGCCGCCGGCUGUGUUGAUCUGGCGUAAGCUGCUACCAGCCAAGAAGUCCUUUCGUGUCCCAGCUGGCUCCUCGGAGCAAAAUGCAGGUGCACCAACACUCUUGACGUCCGAUCUGCAGUGAUAAGGCUCGAUAGUAAGGAAGCUUAGCCAAGACAAG
rnacentral:lncRNA from 1 species